rnacentral:misc_RNA from 1 species
GAUGAAGAACGCAGCGAAAUGCGAUAAGUAAUGUGAAUUGCAGAAUUCAGUGAAUCAUCGAAUCUUUGAACGCACCUUGCACCCUUUGGCAUUCUGAAGGGUAUGCUCGUUUGAGUGUCAUUGUACUCUCACACUCCCGAUCUUUGCAUUGGGAGCAGUGGACUUGGGUUUGCUGCUCACCGUCGCUUACCUCAAAUAGGUUAGUGCAACUCUUGGUUGGACAUAGUACGGCGUGAUAAGUGUUCUUCGCCGGUGCCUCGCAAAGAGGGUGGCCGAUCGGGAUGUUGUGCUCCAAACCGUCUUCGGACAAUCUCUGACGACUUGACCUCAAAUCGAGUAAGACUACCCGCUGAACUUAAGCAUAUCAAUAAGCGGAGGA